rnacentral:rRNA from 1 species
GACGAACGCUGGCGGCAUGCUUAACACAUGCAAGUCGAACGGAGCGCUUAUGACGGAGACUUCGGUCAACUGAUUAGGUUGCUUAGUGGCGGACGGGUGAGUAACGCGUGAGUAACCUGCCUUUCAGAGGGGGACAACAGUUGGAAGCGACUGCUAAUACCGAAUGAUGCAUAGGAGGGGCAUCCCUUUUAUGCCAAAGAUUUAUCGCUGAAAGAUGGACUCGCGUCUGAUUAGCUAGUUGGUGAGGUAACGGCCCACCAAGGCGACGAUCAGUAGCCGGACUGAGAGGUUGAACGGCCACAUUGGGACUGAGAUACGGCCCAGACUCCUACGGGAGGCAGCAGUGGGGAAUAUUGGGCAAUGGGCGCAAGCCUGACCCAGCAAUGCCGCGUGAAGGAAGAAGGCCUUCGGGUUGUAAACUUCUUUUAAGAGGGAAGAGUAGAAGACGGUACCUCUUGAAUAAGCCACGGCUAACUACGUGCCAGCAGCCGCCGUAACAC